UACGUAGGGCGCAAGCGUUGUCCGGAAUUAUUGGGCGUAAAGAGCUCGUAGGCGGCUUGUCGCGUCGAUUGUGAAAGCCCGGGGCUUAACUCCGGGUCUGCAGUCGAUACGGGCAGGCUAGAGUGUGGUAGGGUAGAUCGGAAUUCCUGGUGUAGCGGUGAAAUGCGCAGAUAUCAGGAGGAACACCGGUGGCGAAGGCGGAUCUCUGGGCCAUUACUGACGCUGAGGAGCGAAAGCGUGGGGAGCGAACAGG
rnacentral:rRNA from 1 species